ACCGUUUAUGAUGCUUUUAGAUCUUUCUAUUAUUCAACUAAUUAAAAAUGUUUUAAGUUUUUAUGGAUGCGUAAAAUAGCCUUAACCUCAAAAUGCGAACUCCAUCAUAGCCAAAAUAAUUUGAGAUUACAAAGCUGUUCUUUCAUUUCCUUCUGGGCUCGAAUCAAUGCCGUGUGUACAAUAAACUCCAAGAAAAUAGGUAGAGGAUCACAUCAGGAUCCAGUUUUGGAUUUGACAAAUGAAAUGCCAGACCAAAACCAGCACCUCUCAGGGCCACUAACCUGGGAUAUGUCAAGCUCUAAAGAAUGGUAAAUUAUGAACACCCUGCAAUUAGUGAAAGUGACCUUAUCACUUGUCAAAAACAAGCCCCAUGAAGCUCUAUGACCAUGAAUUGAAGAUUUCAACAACUAUCACCUAAACGAGCCUAUGAGAAUUAAUUCAACUCAUCAGACCCAGGCGUCCAAUACAUAAAAAUAGAAGACCUUACAUCAAUGAAGGUAAACACAUUUUCUUACCAACUUCAAUGGUAGAUGCUUCAAAUGUAUUAG
rnacentral:misc_RNA from 1 species